UACGUAGGGUGCGAGCGUUAAUCGGAAUUACUGGGCGUAAAGCGUGCGCAGGCGGUUUUGUAAGCCAGAUGUGAAAUCCCCGGGCUUAACCUGGGAAUGGCAUUGGAAACUGGCGGGCUUGAGUGCGGCAGAGGGGGGUGGAAUUCCGCGUGUAGCAGUGAAAUGCGUAGAGAUGCGGAGGAACACCGAUGGCGAAGGCAGCCCCCUGGGUCGACACUGACGCUCAGGCACGAAAGCGUGGGGAGCAAACAGG
rnacentral:rRNA from 1 species